GACGAACGCUGGCGGCGUGCCUAAUACAUGCAAGUAGAACGCUGAAGCGAUGAGCUUUCUCUUCUUGGAUUGGUUGCUAACGGGUGAGUAACGCGUAGGUAACCUUCCUUUUAUCCGGGGGUAACUAUUUGAAACGAUAGCUAAUACCGCAUAACAAUGGAUGCCACAUGUCAUUUAUUUUCAUGGGGCAAUUGCUCCACUACUAGAUGGAUCUGCGUUUUGUUAGGUAGUAGGUUAGGUAAUGGCCCAACUAGGCGACGGUACAUAGCCGACCUGAGAGGGUGAUCGGCCAACAUUGGAAUGAGAAAAGGCCCAGAAUCCUAAGGGAGGCAGCCGGAGGGAAUCAUCGGAAAUGGGGGGAAAGCUGAACGAAGAAAGACGGGGGAGUGAAGAAGGUUUUCGGAUCGUAAAGGUCUGUUGUAAGUCAAGAAAGGGUGUGAGAGUGGAAAGUUCACACUGUGACGGUAGCUAAACAGAAAGGGACGGCUAACUACGUG
rnacentral:rRNA from 1 species